UCUCUGGAACCUGAAACAAAAAACAUGAGUUGCAUGCCAUGGAAAGGAGACAAGGCCAAAUCUGAAUCCUUGGAGCUGCCCCAGGCAGCACCCCAACAAAUCUACCACAAGAAACAGCACAGGGAACUUUGUUCUCUACACUCCCUCAUAAUGUCUUCCAGGACCGCAACACCUUCACCCUGGAAACGCCGUAAUUUUCCAGAAGUCAUCUCCACACGCCAUGGUGACGCCACAGCAGAAGAGCAUGCUGGGAAAUGGGAACUUGGAUGUGAACGUCAUUAUGGCAGCUCUUCAGACCAAAGGUUAUGAAGCUGUUUGGUAGGACAAGCACAGGGAUGGCAGCGUCACUGCUCUCACUAACGUAAUGGGCUUCAUCAUGAAUGUGCCCUCCAGGCUGUGCUGGAGACCACUCAAGCUGCCCCUCAAACGGCCGAACUGGAUCUGAUCCGAGAGAGUUCUUACCCAGGUUUGAUCUCUGUGGUUGGAUUCUCCUGCCUGCCUGAAAACUGAGAUACCAAGACCCUGACCCUGUGUGUGCCUGCCUUAGUGACCAAGGGAAGGACAGAAAAGGUGUGACGACGGCAGCUGUGGAGCAAAGACACCUACAUUCACACUAAUUUCACCUCCUUUUCCUGCAAAGGCAAGAAAAACUGCAAUCUAGACACCAAAAGUUUGCUUCAUUUUUCAGGACAGCAAUGGGUGGAGCCCUCUGACAACACAAGCAAGAAGAGGCAGGCUCACCGGAAAGGGCUGGCUC